rnacentral:rRNA from 1 species
AUGAACGCUGGCGGCGUGCCUAGUACAUGCAAGUCGAGCGAACGGACGAGAAGCUUGCUUCUCUGAUGUUAGCGGCGGACGGGUGAGUAACACGUGGAUAACCUACCUAUAAGACUGGGAUAACUUCGGGAAACCGUAGCUAAUACCGGAUAAUAUUUUGAACCGCAUGGUUCAAAAGUGAAAGACGGUCUUGCUGUCACUUAUAGAUGGAUCCGCGCUGCAUUAGCUAGUUGGUAAGGUAACGGCUUACCAAGGCAACGAUGCAUAGCCGACCUGAGAGGGUGAUCGGCCACACUGGAACUGAGACACGGUCCAGACUCCUACGGGAGGCAGCAGUAGGGAAUCUUCCGCAAUGGGCGAAAGCCUGACGGAGCAACGCCGCGUGAGUGAUGAAGGUCUUCGGAUCGUAAAACUCUGUUAUUAGGGAAGAACAUAUGUGUAAGUAACUGUGCACAUCUUGACGGUACCUAAUCAGAAAGCCACGGCUAACUACGUG